rnacentral:lncRNA from 1 species
GCAGCUCCUCUGCAGUGUCUUCCAGAAGAUGCACCACCCCCUGCCCUGGCUCUAGACAUCCAGAGACCACGUUGGAGCCGUGCUGCAGACUCUCAGACCAGAGUUUCCACUCCAGAACUCUCGCCUGACCUCUGGUCCUGUACCUCCAGCAGCUUGUGGAAUCUCAGACUCAAAUACCAACUCAUCACAGGGUGCAGAAUGUCGAAGAAACUCAGGGCCCACCCCAACCACCUGACGAUGACACUCACAAUCAAAACCACGUACAUGGCUUCUACCACACACGCGCGCAGCCCUUGAGCUGAGGGUGUUACACACAGUACUGCAUUCCAUCUUCACGGACACUGUGAGCUACAAGGGCAGAGUUGAGUCGUUGCAACACAGAUGUAAAUGUAUGGCUCACGAAGUCCUCUGAGGGUUGGCUGCCAUUAUGAUGAUUACACAGACGAACAACAGCGGGCCAGCCCCGUGGCCGAGCGGUUAAGUUCGCACGCUCCGCUUCGGUGGCCCAGGGUUUCGCCGGUUCGGAUCCUGGGCACAGACAUGGCACCGCUCGUCAGGCCAUGCUGAAGCGGCAUCCCACAUGCCACAACUAGAAGGACCCACAACUAAAAAUAUGCAACUAUGUACUGGGGGGCUUUGGGGAGAAAAAGGAAAAAUAAAAUUUUUUAAAAAAU